rnacentral:pre_miRNA from 1 species
CAGGAAUUGGAGGCUACAGUGAGCUGUGACUGUGCCACUGUGCUCCAGCCUGGGUGAUAGAGGGAGACUCCAUCUCUUAAAUUAAUUAAUUAAUUAAUUUAUGAGAUGGAGUUUCUCUCUUGUUGCCCAGGCUGGAGCACAGUGGCACAGUCACAGCUCACUGUAGCCUCCAAUUCCUG